CCAGCAGAAAACCAGUCUUUUAACUCCUAAAUAGCCAGAUAAUGAGGCUUUUACAACCAAACAAUUUGGAGAGAACUGUGAUCGGUUAUUGCUGAUGGAAUGUGAGAAAGAGCUCUCUAGGGGAAAGUGAAAAUGCCCUGCCGUAGUCCAAGAAGAUACACAGAGGCACUAAGGGCAUGGAGCCACAUGACAAACAGCCGAACGGAAUUAAAACGCAAUGAAGAAGAUUCCACAGGGCAAAUGACUCAAUCCCUUCAGUAAAUAGAUGACAAUAAAUAAAGGAAAGGGGAACUCUAA